UACGGAGGGUGCAAGCGUUGUCCGGAAUCACUGGGCGUAAAGGGCGCGUAGGCGCUCGGUAAGUAGGGGUGAAAUCUCGGGCUCAACCCGAAACUGGCACUUGAUACUGCCUCGCUUGAGUACUGGAGAGGAGACUGGAAUUUACGGUGUAGCAGUGAAAUGCGUAGAUAUCGUAAGGAAGACCAGUGGCGAAGGCGAGUCUCUGGACAGUUACUGACGCUGAGGCACGAAGGCCAGGGGAGCAAACGGG
rnacentral:rRNA from 1 species